UACAGAGGGGGCUAGCGUUGUCCGGAAUCAUUGGGCGUAAAGAGCGCGUAGGCGGCCAGAUAAGUCCGGUGUGAAAGUCACAGGCUCAACCUGUGAAUGCCGCUGGAAACUGUCUGGCUAGAGUCCGGAAGGGGCGAGUGGAAUUCCUGGUGUAGCGGUGAAAUGCGCAGAUAUCGUGAGGAACACCAGAGGCGAAGGCGGCUACCUGGAUAAUUGCUGACGCUCAGGCACGAAAGCGUGGGGAGCAAAAGGG
rnacentral:rRNA from 1 species